UACGGGGGGAGCAAGCGUUGUUCGGAUUUACUGGGCGUAAAGGGCGCGUAGGCGGUCGUGACAAGUCACUUGUGAAAUCUCCGGGCUUAACUCGGAACGGUCAAGUGAUACUGUCGGACUAGAGUACAGAAGGGGCAACUGGAAUUCUCGGUGUAGCGGUGAAAUGCGUAGAUAUCGAGAGGAACACCUGUGGCGAAGGCGGCCUUCUGGACGGUGACUGACGCUGAGGCGCGAAAGCGUGGGGAGCAAACGGG
rnacentral:rRNA from 1 species